UCUUGAUUGCUAAUGUUUUACUUACCUAUGGCAAGGCCAAUAACAAAGUGAGGCACGACUAGUUGUCCUAAAGCAGACACGUGAGCUAUCUGUGAAAUGGAGCAGUUGUAGCAUUGUCAGUAUCCGAAAAUCUGAACGGUACUGAUACAAUAGUAUGCGGUAACAGAAAAGAUCGUUUUUGGAAUCACAACUUCGAGAAAUUUUGAGACGUGGUGGCCCGCUGUACCAUUCAAUGGCGAUCUCAUUAGGAAAGUGCAUCGUGUCCGCUAUUUCGCCGCUUACCGUCACAACAUCACCGCACUUAUAUAAUAAAUAAUAAAAAAAAAAGGCAACACCUAGCCUUUGCAAGGAAAAAAUGGACCAUAAUGUCCGAGAUAGUACCGCGUGCGUGCCACCGUUGAACCGAUUUGUAUUUGAAAAAAGCCAAAUGCUUACUUCGCACGCAAUUCAUCCGUAAAACAGUGAAGCGGGCGUUUGUUGUUCGACCGUUGUUGCAAGAUUUGCCUCUCGGACCUGGCUGAAUAAAGGACCGCAUAAUGCUUCAAUCAUCGCUACCGUUACACCCUCCGCCUUUAAUGCCUUCUCUAUAUCAAAGAGUCCAGCUUUCGAGCGAAAUUUAAUGGAGCAGAAAUGUAAAUUGCGCUUCGUAGCUGGCAGUAGCCCGAUAAAAGUGGCUACGCCUCAGGCUACCGAGAGUCUUCGACGUUACCCCUUAUCUUUUCAUUACAUUCUCCCUACAGUUCGUCUCUCUCAAAUGUCAAAAGUAAACAAGCAACAACAAAGGUUCGCAAAUCGGAGCUGGACAUGUCCUUGCCGAAGCUUUCGUCGUUGACAUCGAACGUGUACCUAGGCAGAAUAAUGUGACUCCACUUAUGCUAUCCGCAAUAUCUAGUUGUGAUCGAAAUGCAUAACGGAUGCUUCGAUGAAAAUAUAUCAUGGCAUCAAGUACACGGGCGAAGAUUGAUGCUUACUACGAAAAAAAUAGGCCGAACGAACUUGCAUAAAACACGAAUCUCACCGCUGUUGUUCCUCUUGUUACCGAUUCCGUCCCGUAAAACAAUUUCUUAAGUAAUGCUGGAUUGGACCCAACAGAACGUGGCCUUAUGAAUCUGGGGCUCGGCCAUGACGGAUGGACUUUA